GACGAACGCUGGCGGCGUGCCUAAUACAUGCAAGUGGGACGCAAGAGAACACACUGUGCUUGCACACCGUGUUUUCUUGAGUCGCGAACGGGUGAGUAACGCGUAGGUAACCUGCCUAUUAGCGGGGGAUAACUAUUGGAAACGAUAGCUAAUACCGCAUAAUAUUAAUUAUUGCAUGAUAAUUGAUUGAAAGAUGCAAGCGCAUCACUAGUAGAUGGACCUGCGUUGUAUUAGCUAGUUGGUAAGGUAAGAGCUUACCAAGGCGACGAUACAUAGCCGACCUGAGAGGGUGAUCGGCCACACUGGGACUGAGACACGGCCCAGACUCCUACGGGAGGCAGCAGUAGGGAAUCUUCGGCAAUGGACGAAAGUCUGACCGAGCAACGCCGCGUGAGUGAAGAAGGUUUUCGGAUCGUAAAGCUCUGUUGUAAGUCAAGAACGUGUGUGAGAGUGGAAAGUUCACACAGUGAC
rnacentral:rRNA from 1 species